AAUUUAAAAAUUUAAAAAUUCAAAUUCAAAUAUAAUAAGAGAGUAAUAUUAUUAUUUUUAAUAUAUAAAAACUCACUAUUCUUUUUAUUUUAUCUUAACUAAUCAAACGCUUUUUGUUUUAUUCCUAGGAAUAACCUAAUUUUCAUCCAAACGCAAAAUUAAUCUAAUUCCCGCUUAUACCUCAAUUUAUACCUAUCCCUGUAAUAGCCACUUUUUACUUAUUUCCGAACCAAACGAUACCUUAGAAUUUUAUAAUUAAGCCGAUUAUAUAACCCAAUUCUGAUUAACUAAAUAUUGAUGCAUUAUUAAUGCAAAAAUAAUUUAGUAG
rnacentral:lncRNA from 1 species